GUGGGGAAUAUUGGGCAAUGGGCGGAAGCCUGACCCAGCGACGCCGCGUGGGGGAAGAAGUCUUUCGGGAUGUAAACCCUUGUUGUACGGGACGAAGGAAGUGACGGUACCGUACGAGGAAGCCCCGGCAAACUACGUGCCAGCAGCCGCGGUAAUACGUAGGGGGCGAGCGUUGUCCGGAAUCACUGGGCGUAAAGCGCACGUAGGCGGGCUGUCAAGUCGGCCGGGAAAGGCACGGGCUCAACCUGUGCAUGUCGGUCGAUACUGGCGGUCUGGAGUAUGGGAGAGGGAACUGGGAUUCCCGGUGUAGCGGUGAAAUGCGUAGAUAUCGGGAGGAACACCAGUGGCGAAGGCGGCCAUCUGGACCAGCACUGACACUGAGGCACGAAAGCGUGGGGAGCAAACAGGAUUAGAUACCCUAGUAGUCC
rnacentral:rRNA from 1 species